UGUACAUUCAUUGGAUCCCAUUUCGUACACUGAAAUGCCAGUUCCUCCCCUUCCGUGUCAAAAGCAGCCGUGAGUUACAGCAAGUGGAGGGAAACAGAAAGAUAGCAGUUGCUCAGAUGCGUUCCUCAAGAGCAAAGAUAUCAUUCCCAUGUUGGUCACUUCCAAGAGCAACUGGUUCAGCUGUCAGAGGACAGAUGCUCACAAGGGUCAAGGAAGAGAAGUCUUCUUUCACCAGGAAGGACAGGAGUCUGCAGGGCUGUUCUUUGCUGCCUCACACUACAGCACACUGUGGCACAGCGGCCAACACUGCUGACAAUACUCCAGAGGCAAGAGACACCUUAAUCUGCACUGAUGGUAAAUGUCUCUCCAUCUUUGAGGACAGAAAGUCACUCCUGAUGCUUGGCACAGAGGAGGUUCAAAGUUGCAGCCUAAAAAUGGCUGCAUUCUCUGAAGAAGAGAAAAGAAAGGAAGAAAGGAAGAAAGGAAGAAAGGAAGAAAGGAAGAAAGGAAGAAAGGAAGAAAGAAAGAAAGAAAGAAAGAAAGAAAGAAAGAAAGAAAGAAAGAAAGAAAGAAGGAAAGAAAGAGAGAAAGAAAGAAGGAAAGAAGGAAAGAAAGAAGGAAAGAAGGAAAGAAGGAAGGAAAGAAGGAAAGGAAAGAAGGAAAGAAAGAAGGAAAGAAGGAAAGAAAGAAGGAAAGAAAGAAGGAAAGAAGGAAAGAAGGAAAGAAGGAAAGAAAGAAGGAAAGAAAGAAGGAAAGAAAAAAGAAAAUUACUAGCAGAAUAUUAAGUAUUACAGAGCUUGUCCUAAACAACAGCAAUCUCUGUUGGCUUCUCAGAAGUUGCAGAACGUACACAUGCAAACAGAAGUGCCCUCGGGAGACAUGCACAACACAAACUGGGCCCCAAGGCUGGCUGUUGGCUCUGUCCUUUCAUCUCUAACGCACAGCUCAGGCUGACCUUUAAUGGGGAAAUGGAAAAAAGGGAGGUGGCUGCUACUGAGUUGCACAGAGGAGAAAAAAAUAGAGUGUGAGUUAUUAAGGGGAAGAAAGGAAAACAUUUAGAAAAUCCUGGGAGGCAGAAUAUUUUAAGAAUGCUUCUGGAUGGAGCACAGAUUCUGCAGAAGUGGCUGCUGCGCUGUGGGUUUGUUACUGAGUAUCCUUAGGCUUUCUCGGGGUGGAUACCCAAAGUCUGAGACUUCAAAAUCUGCAUGAACUUUUGAAAAUCUUGGUUUCUUACAUGUUCCUGUACUGCUCCAACAGCUGUGAACCCUUGAACUUCCUCAGCACUAAGUGUUGUUACAGGAAUUAGGACAGGUGUCUUUCUGGGGCAAAUAUGGAAUACUAAGACCCCACAGUUUGGCAGGGAAUCAUAGAAUCCUAAAUCAUAGACUGGUUUGGGAUGGAAGGGACCUCAAAGCUGGCUGUCAGCUCAGCCUGUCCAGGGCCCACCCAGCCCAGCCUUGGGCACCUCCAGGGCUGAGUACCCACAGCAGUGCCAGGACCUCACCACCCUCUGAGUGAAGAAUUUCUAAUACCUAACCUAAAUUUCCCCUCUUCUAGUUUAAAAACAUUCCCUGUUGUCCUCGUACCAUCUGUCCAUGUGAAAAGCUUCUCCUGUUUAUAAGCUCCCAUUAAGUACUGGAAGGUCUCCCUGGAUCUUUCUCUUCUCAAGGCUGAACAAGCCCAGCUCCCUCAAUUUCUCUUUAUAGGAGAGGUGCUCCACCCCUAUCAGCAUCUUCACAGCCCUCCUCUGAACCUGCCCCAACAGCUCCAAUGGGAAAUUCCACGUACUCAAACCAACAUAAAACAGGCUGUGGUGCAGCCAGCAACAAGUGUGAUAGCACACUGUCCAGCAUAGGUUGGACAAUCAUCAUCACCAAUUUACUCUCUUUCUAAAAAGAAAAGAUGAGUUUUCAAAGAGUGGCAGUCUCUGUCUAUUUUUCAACACCCCCCAUACUUUGGAUAGGUGACCUGUAGCUAGUUCAGCUACUCCUGUAUAUACUCAUGUCUAUGGGAGGAACAGAGAAGGCCCCGCUGACCUGCUGCCACACAUACCAUCCACUGUGCAUACCUACAUGGGGGUCCAGCUUCUGUGCCUGAACCAAAGCUGCCUUCACUUGUGGCCGUGGGGGAGAGCCCAGAGUCUCUGUCUGUGGCAGCACAACUUCAUGCCUGUUGGAAGAAUUGUGUGGAAGAAAGUGGAGAAAAAAUCACUGUGAAUUAAUCAAGCCAUCAUCAAUGGCACCAGGUGCACUGGCUGUACAAGGAAAACAAAUAAAUCAACC
rnacentral:lncRNA from 1 species